rnacentral:lncRNA from 1 species
GUUUACCUAAGCAAGCCUGGGCAAUGGCGGGCGCCCCUCCCCCAGCCUGGCUGCCGCCUUGCAGUUUGAUCUCAGACUGCUGUGCCAGCAAUCAGCAAGACUCCAUGGGCGUCGUAGGACCCUCUGAGCCAGGAAGUUGCGCUGUACCUGAGAGCACCGAGAUAUAACAUAAGAAGCCAUCUUGGAAUUAAAGUUGUUGAAUGGAAAUGUGGCUUCAGCCUGGCUGUGUAUCACAUCCUUCUGGUUAGGGGCAUUGCUGCAGGAAUCUGUUUAUUCUCAAUUCAAGCCAAUAUGUACUGAUUGCUCUGACCUCCUCUCGUAAACAGGCAUUCUACUGGAACGUGUAAGAUAAUUUUUGCCAUCUGUCAUUUUCUUCUUCUUGAGAAAGGAGGAGAAUUACUGAGAAACAAGAAAAUGAAAGAAGAUCAAAUUUGCAGGUGAAUAAUCAUGACCCAAGUGGAACUGAGGAAAGUGUGCUGAAACCUGUUGGAGAACCCAUACAAAGAAGUUGGGAUGCAGAAAAGGAAGGCAGCCAGAAUCUGG